UAUCUCUGUAGAGUCUGCAUAUCAAUAAGCGGAGGAAAAGAAACUAACAAGGAUUCCCUUAGUAACGGCGAGUGAAGCGGGAAGAGCUCAAAUUUGAAAUCUUCAAGGUUCUACCUUGACGAAUUGUAGUUUAAAGAAGUGUUUUCUGUUAGAUUUGAGUAGAAAAGUUCCUUGGAAUAGGACAUCAUAGAGGGUGAGAAUCCCGUAUUUGACCAUUAUUUUCAGCUUUGUGAUACACUUUCAAAGAGUCGGAUUGUUUGGGAAUGCAGUCCAAAAUGGGUGGUAAAUUUCAUCUAAAGCUAAAUAUUGGCGAGAGACCGAUAGCGAACAAGUACCGUGAGGGAAAGAUGAAAAGAACUUUGAAAAGAGAGUUAAACAGUACGUGAAAUUGUCAAAAGGGAAGCGUUUGACACCAGUGUUGUUUUCUCGAAAAUCAAUUAAAAAAAGUUGGAUUUUGUAUUGUUAAGACCUUAUCAGCUUACUGUACUCUUUUCUUGCUUUUUUUAAUGCACUUUUCGUUUAACAAGUCAACAUCAAUUUCUUUUGUUGUAAAAGAGUCAUUGGAAGGUGGCUUUCACUUCGGUGAAAGUGUUUAUAGCCUUUGGCUUCUGCAAUCGGAGAGAUUGAGGUCUGCAGCGUAGAUCCUUCGGGGCUAGAUACGUAGAUGCUAAGUUAUAGUUUUUAUAGACAACUUGUUGACUAUAAUUAAUCAUGUAGCUUACUCGUUUGCGCUAUUUUACCUACGCUUAGGAUGUUGAUAGUCACAGCGUGUAC
rnacentral:rRNA from 1 species